AGGCUUACUUUUAAUCAAAGACUAAGUGGGAAUUAACAAACUAGAUUUAACAAAUAUUUUAUAAUUGCUUUUUUGCAUCUUUUUGUUUUGGGGAUCUUCCAUUUCAUCAGGGUGCUCAGUAGCUUCAAGUUCUUCAGAUUCUUCUUUCUCUAAUUCUGAAUCACUUUCAGAAUCAUCUAGACUUUCAAAAUAAGGUGAAUAUCAUCAUUGUCUCCAGCCACGUCAUCUUCUCCAUCAUGAUCUUCUAUCUCAUUGAAGCCAAGUCCACAGUGUUGAUAGUUUCCUGAUAAAUAUUUGAUGAUAUUGAGACUCCAAUUCUUCAUUAUUUUCUUAUCUUCUUCCCCUUUUUGAAAAUGAGAUGUUGUUUUGUGAUCUUCUAUAACAAGACAACCAAUAUGUGCUUUCUUGCCUGUACCCGAUAAGUCUCAAGAAUUUUUGUUUUCUCAUUGCCCAAGUCUUCUGCCUCCAAAUUGCUAGAUCCAAGAUCAUUUCUUGGGGAGGCUGAAUGAUUCACCUGUGUGUGGGAGAUUGCCUGGCAGCACUCAUUGUUGUGUUGAUCCUGACAUGAAAUGCCCAACACACUCACAGUUUUCUUCAGGCAGACACCAGUAGCUUGCAAUCUGCCACUGACUCAAACAGGGUCACUUUGAGGCCUGGGCACAGUGGCAUAUGCCUGUAAUCUCAGUGGCUCAGGAGGCUGAGACAUGAGAAUCCGGAAUUCAAAGCUGGCCUCAGCAAUGGCAAGGCCCUACGCAACUCUGUGAGACCCUGUCUCUAAAUAAAAUGCAGAACAGAUCUGGGGAUAUGGUUCAGUGGCCACGUGCCUCUGAGUUUAGUCCCCAGUAACCACCCCCAUCUCCAAAACAAAAACCAGCAUCACUUUGAAACUGAAAGCCCCCUCUGGGCUUUCACCACCAUCAUCACCACUUUAAAAAUUCUCAAAGUCAAAAUAGAGACACAACAUACCCAAACCAAUCAGAUACAGCAAAAGUAGUACCAAAAAGGAAGUUUAUAGCAAUCAACGCCCACAUCAAAAAAAGGAGAGAUUUUAAAGAACCUAUCACUGCAUUUCAUGGAACUAGAAAAAUAAUUAAAAGCUUAUUAAAAGGAAAGAAACAGUAAUGAUCAAAGCAGAAAUAAAUGAAGCCUAAAAAGCAAUACAAAAGAUCAAUGAAACAAAGAACUGGUUCUUCAAAAUAUAUGAAAUAGACAAGCCUUAGCUAGACUGAGGACAGAAGAGUCAAAUCAGAGAUAGAAAUGGAAGCAUUACAACUGACACCAUAGAAAUACAAAAAUCAUUAGAGAUUGUUAUAAAGUAUGUACCAACAUGUUUGAUAAUUUAGGAAAAAUGAACAAAUUCGUAGACACACACCUUCUCAAGACAGAAUCAUGAAUAGAAAACCUAAUCAGACCAGUAACAAAUGAGAUUGAUGGAAAGUUUUUUAUUAGUAAUUCAAAGAAAAUCCUAGGACCAGAGGGCUUCACUGCUGAAUUUAUCAAACAUUUAAUCUGAAUCUCCUUAAGCUAUUCCAAAACAGGAAGGAACUCUUCCAAACACAUUCUAAGAGGACAUUACUCUGAUACCAAAAAACAGAUAAGGACAUAAUAAAAACAGGAAAACUACAGAGCAGUUUGAUGAACAAAGACUGCAAAAAUCCUCAACAGAAUUUUUGCCAGCCAGAUACAAUAGCAAAUUUAAAAGAUUAUUUAGCACAAUCAAGUAGGAUUCAUCCCAGUGAUGCAAGGCUGAAAAGUGAUACACCACAUCAACAGAAUGAAGGACAAAAACCACACCAUUAUCUCAAUUGAGGGAGAAAAGGAAUCUGACAAAAUUCAACAUCGUUCUAAUACCUUCUAAUAAAAAUGCUGAACAAAUAUAUAAGGAACAUACCUCAACAAAAUAAAGAUCAUUUAUAUUAAGCGAACAGUGAAUAUAUUGUAUGGGGAAAAGCUUUCUCUCUGAGAUCUGAUACAAGAUAAGGAUGCCCAUUUUUUUACAUUUUUAUUCAAGAUAGUGCUGGAAGUCCUAGCUGGAGCAGUUAGGAAAGAGAAGGAAAUGCAGGGCACCCAGAUUGAAUAAGAAGAAAUCAAAUUGUCACCAUUUGCAGAUGACAUAAUCUCCUGUACAGAAACCUCAAAGACUCUACCAAAAACUGCUAAAAUUAAUGAAUUCAGGGAAGUUGCAUGAUAUAAAAUUAACAUAUAAAAUCACUAGCAUUGGGACUGGGGAUAUAGCUCAGUUGGUAGAGUGCUUGCCUCAUAUGCGCAAGGCCCUAGGUUCAAUCUCCAGCAACACACACACACACAUGCAUCACUAUGUGCUAUAUGCCAAUAGUGAAUUACCCGAAAUAGAAAUCAAGAAAGCAGUCCUAUUCAUAAUAGCUACAAAAGAUAAAAUACCUAGAAAUAAAUUUAACCAAAGAGAUGAAAUUAUUUCUACAGUAAAAAUUUUAA
rnacentral:lncRNA from 1 species